rnacentral:misc_RNA from 1 species
GAUGAAGAACGUAGCGAAAUGCGAUACGUAGUGUGAAUUGCGGAAUUCAGUGAAUCAUCGAAUCUUUGAACGCACAUUGCACCUCUCGGUAUUCCGGGAGGUAUGCCUGUUCGAGCGUCAUUUGUACCCUCAAGCUCUGCUUGGUGUUGGGUGUUUGUUCCGCCUCUGUGUGUGAACUCGCCUCAAAACAAUUGGCAGCCGGCGUACUUGUUUCGGAGCGCAGCACAUUUUGCGAUCCAGAUCAACGUACAGCGGCAUCCAAGAAGCCUUAUUUAACGCUCUUGACCUCGGAUCAGGUAGGGAUACCCGCUGAACUUAAGCAUAUCAAUAAGCGGAGGA